GAGGGUGAUCCUGGCUCAGAAUGAACGAUGGCGGCAUGGUUAUCACAUGCAAGUCGAACGAGAUCUUCGGAUAUAGUGGCGCACGGGAAAGCAACGCGAGGAAAUCACCAUUCUGUACGGAAUAACGUUGGGAAACGAACGUUAAUACCGUAUACGCCCUAGGGGGGAAAGGUCCGCCGCAGAAUGAGGAGUCCGGGUCCGAUUAGCUAGUUGGUAGGGUAAUGGCCUAACAAGGAGACGAUCGGUAGCUGGUCUGAGAGGAUGAUCAGCCACAAUGGGAGGGAGACACGGGCCAGAUUCGUACGGGAGGCAGCAGUGGGGAAUACUGGACAAUGGGGGCAACCAUGAUCCAGCAAUGCCGAGGGACUGAUGAAGGCCAUGGGGUGGUAAAGCACUUUCAAUGGUGAAGAUGACGACGGUAACCAUAGAAGAAGCCCCGGAUAACUUCGUGCCAGCACCCGCGGUAAUAAGGGAGA
rnacentral:rRNA from 1 species